GGUCAAGAAAUUUGAAGAUGAAUAUGUGACAACUAGUCGGUUAGGUUCAAUCGUGUGAACUCAUUAUUAUUAGCAUCCAACAGAAAAUCCUGUAUUCAUCUAAUUGGUGAAACUUUUGUUAAUCUCGUUGGCAUGUACCUAUAGGAUUUUAUGUUAUAUUCUAGUUAGUUGGAGAAUUAAUUCAUACUUUGAGAUGUUCUAUAAAUAGGCACAUAUGAUAGUUGUUAAUGGUUCGUACCAUGUAUAUGUUUGGUGUUGAUGAUGCUAUGCGAGUUUUUAAAUGUAAAUAUAAUGCUUUGGAUUUGAAUUAA